rnacentral:rRNA from 1 species
CAGUAGCCGCGGGAAUACGAGGGGGGCAAGCGUUGUUCGGAAUUAUUGGGCGUAAAGGGUGCGUAGGCGGUUUGAUAAGUCACAUGUGAAAUCUUCGGGCUCAACCCGAAGUCUGCAUGCGAAACUGUCGGGCUUGAGUAUUGGAGAGGUGAGUGGAAUUUCCGGUGUAGCGGUGAAAUGCGUAGAUAUCGGAAGGAACACCUGUGGCGAAAGCGGCUCACUGGACAAUAACUGACGCUCAUGCACGGAAGCGUGGGGAGCAAACAGGAUUAGAUACCCGCGUAGUCCCUGUCUCUUAUAC